CCAAAUAAGCCUCCUUUCACAAAAGGAAAAAACUAAAGCCCAGAAAGGUUGAGCCCCUGACUAGCAGCAGAGUGAGGACAGAACAAAGGUGACGAGACUCCCAAGUAAGAGCUCCCUCCACUCCAUCCUCUUUAAGCAGGCACCCGGAGGGGCAGGGAAUCUCUCCGAGAAAAGUGAAUGAGUUGUGGUGCGCAAUGUGACUUCAGGAGUCUGGAAGCUCUUUCAGCUUUCUUCCUGAUUCCUUGCCAUGUUCUACAUGACUGAAAUGGAACUCUAGACAAGAGGGUAAAUCUGGGCAUGGAGAAGUAUUUAAAUCCCUAAAUUAAAGCUAUAUUUUAUUGUAUUUUAAUUGAUGUCACCAUUCAUGGAGAAUGAACCCUGGGCAGGCAGCAGCAACUCAGUCACCUGCCUUGUUUUAUACUUUAUGUUCUAACAUUUAAGUGAGACUAAGUCUUCUUUUCCAGCAGAAUGAGAAGCUCCUCCAGGUCAAGGCCUGUGUCACACCCCUCUCCAAUAUCUCUUAUGGCACCCUGAAGAGUACUUGGCACACAUCUUGAAUGGGCUUCCGAAUUCACGUAUGUGAUUUCCCCUCUGGACCGUAAGUACCUUUGAUGUCAAAAGAAUCUCUUACACAAUUUUUGUAAGUUAGUACAAUCAGUGCCUCACGCAGGUCUUGCUCCGUAAAUAAUGGUUAACUCUCAAAUGCUCGGCAGAGCUUCUCACAGCCUCUGCAGGAAAGAAGGGCUAUUCAGACAUGCAGGCUUGCCAGGCAUCUGAGAAAAAGUAGGGCUGCCAGAGCUUCUGAAACCAGAGGCUUAAAAACUGACAUAGCAGUGUGUCUUAUAUGAUAUUUCACACAUAGCAAAACCUCACAUUCUCUUGAGUGAGGAUAGUGUCUGAAAUGACAUCAAUGAGGUCCUUCAGGAAAAACAGGAACAUCCAGAGCUACCACAAGCACCAGGCAGAUCACAAGGGCUAAGAUCACAGUCAUCUAAACACAGGUUAUCUUUCCAAGGAAGGUCCUUGUCAUAACUAAGAGAAAAGAAAAAGUCCAUCAGUUAUGGCACUGGAAUUCGUGGUUGUCUUCAUCAGGCUGUAAGAUAUCAGUCUUGAGCCAAUCAGGACUGCAACUUUUACUUUUCAGGCAAUGCUCUACACAGCCGACCCAGUCAAUGCAGACUGGCAUUACCCACAUUUUCCUAUUGCUCAACUACAGAAUGAGGAGGAUUAUCACGUGUCACCGGCAACUCUCAGCUUCACUGAAACAACUGAAAUGGUAAUGGACCUCACUCAUCAUCCAAAGAGUUCCUUUGGAAAUGUAGGCCAGAUUUACUAGCAAAACUGUGGUUUUCUACUGCCCUUAAGCUGUCCCUCCCACCCACUCCAAAUAACCAAUGAAGAUUUGCUUUUGAAAAUGGGCAAACUCACUGAAAAACUCAUCUACCUAUAGCAAAUGUAAUUAAUUUUUUAAUAUUUCAGUCUCUAACAUUCUUAUACUGGUGAAAGUUAAAAAAGAAAAAUGAAAUGAGAUGUUACAGCAGGCCCAAAGGUUAAGCAGAAAGAAAAGGUCAUAUGGAAAGGAGAUAAAUCCAGGAGAGCUAGGGACCCAAGAGUACAGAUUCAAUCCUGCCACUUCAAUGGGAGAAAAAAAUACGGAUGUCCAGGAAAGGGCAGACAACCUGGUCAUGGUUAGGAGACAGAAUUCACAAGUCAGCACAAAGCCAUCAAUCCUAAUCCAGAAUCAUUUCUAAUAUUUAAGACAACGUACAUGUCAUUCUACACUGCAGUGGCAUCUUAGAUCUUUCAAAAUAUGUAUUACAGCACUUUUAAUUGUAGCCACAAGAACCUUGCCUGUCCUCCCCACUAGACCUGAGGUCCAUCUGGUAAAGGAAUCAAGCCCAUACAUUUCAGCAGCUAACACACAGCAUAGUGCACAGUGGGCACGCAAUAAAUAUUGAAUUCUUUAAGAACUACUUAUGAAGUUUUGAAAAAGAUGACGCCCAAGUAAAAGGAUAAGGCCAGGCCCACUUAACUUCCCCAUGACAGACAUGAGUAUGAAAUGUAAAAGUUCAUUUCUGGGUGGACUUCUGCUUCUGGUCAAGAUGGAGUGACAGGGAUCACAUUUACCUUUCUACCGGAAACAGCUAAUAAAAAACAAAACAAAACAAAACAAAAACACAGAAUGGGCCGGGCGCGGUGGCUCACACCUGUAACCCCAGUACUUUGGGAGGCCGAGACAGGCGGAUCACGAGGUCAGGAGUUCGACUGAAACCCCGUCUCUACUAAAGAUACAAAAAAUUAGCCGGGCGUGGUGGCGGGCACCUGUAGUCCCAGCUACUCCGGAGGCUGAGGCAGGAGAAUGGCGUGAACCUGGGAGGCGGAGCUUGCAGUGAGCCGAGAGCGCGCCACUGCACUCCAGCCUGGGCGACAGAGCGAGGCUCCGUCUCAAAAAAAAAAAAAAAAGAUACAAAAAAUUAGCCAGGCGCGGUAGCUACUCGGGAGGCUGAGGCAGAGAAUUGCUUGAACCCGAGAGGCGGAGGCUGCAGUGAGGCAAGAUUGCGCCACUGCACUCUAGCCUGUGCGACAGGGCAAGACUCCAUCUCAAAAAAGAAAAGAAAAGAAAAAAAAACCCAAAACGACAGAAUAUAUGAAAUGACUGUUUCCAAGAUAUUGGACACCAGGCACAAAGGACGACGAUUCCUGAAAGACAAGGAACUGAACAAGGAGGACCCUACAGCUAACUGGCUUACUGCCUGGAGAGAAUUUCAGGCACAGUGCAGGGGAGGGGCACCCAGGCAGAGUCCAGAGUUCUUCCUAAACUGAAGAGAGGAAGCUGAUAUAUCGUCUGGGGAGGCCAAAGAGGUUCACAGGGCAGAAGAUUAGAGAAGAAAGACUUACACAGAAAAAAAAUUCUGGAGAUCUGAGCAGGGGGCCUCCCCAGCCACCCCACCAAGUCUUCAGCUGAACACCCAUCAGCACACGCAUGUGAGGAAACUACCUGAGGCCAGGGAAAUAAUUACCUGAAAGGACGGCAGAGAACAAUAUUCAGACCUCACACAGGAACAGGAAUAAUUCCUGUUACCAGCAACCAUAAUAGGAAACCUCGUUAUUUCAAGGAAAUUGGGUAGAGUACUCAGAAACAUUUACCUCUGUGGUAAAGAAAAAUAACCCCAGACUUAACGCUGUGCCGGUCCCGCCUAAAAAUGCUUAAAAGCAAGACCCAAAAGGAUCAAACUGUUUCCAAGUAACCAGUGUUCCAGAACAAAGUUCAAGAAUAUUUAAAAGAAUACAAAAAUAUCUAGCACCCAACAAGCUAAGACUCACAAUAUCCAACUGAAAAAUCAUCAGGUGGGUAGGUGCAGUAGCUUAUGUCUAUAAUCCCAGCCCUUUGGGAGGCCGAGGUGGGAGGAUCACUUGAGGCCAGGAGUUCAAAGCCAGCCUGGGCAAUGUAGCAAGACCCCCAUUUCCACAAAAACAAUUUAAAAAAAUCAGCUAGGCAUGGUGGCACAUGCUUGUAGCCCUCGCUACUUGGGAGGCUGAGGCAGGAGGAUCUCUUGAGCCCAGGAGUUUGAGGCUACAGUGAGCUAUGAUCAUACCACUGCACUCCAGCCUGAGCAACAGAGCAAGACCCUGUCUCUUAAAAUAAAUUUUUAAAAAUAACCAGGCACGCAAAGAAGAAAUCAGGACCCAUAAUGAAGAGAAAAAUCAAACUAACUCAGAAAUAACAAGAUAAUUAGUAGAUAAGGACAUUGCAACAGUUGUAACUGUACUCCACAAGAAAUUAGAGAAUGGAUUGAGAAUGUUAAAGAAAAAAAAUUUUUUUAAAGACUUAAAAUUUUUUAAAGACCCAGUGGCUCAUGCCUAUAAUCCCAGCAUUUUGGGAGGCCAAGGUGGGCGGAUCACUUGAGGUCAAGAGUUCGAGACCAGCCUGGCCAACAUGGUAAAAUCCCGUCUCCACUAAAAAUACGAAAAUUACUAAAAUACUAAAAAUUAGCCAAGUGUGGUGGUGGGCACCUGUAAUCCCAGCUACUCAAGAGGCUGAGGGAGGAGAAUCACUUGAAUCCAGGAGGCAGAGGUUGCAGUGAGCAGAGAUUGGACCAUUGCACUACAGCUUGGGUGACAAGAAAACACCGUCUCAAAAAAAAAAAGAAAGAAAGAAAAGAAAAAGACUUAAAUUAGACUUGUAGAAAUGAGUAUUACAAUGACUGAAAUGAAAAGUACACUGGAUAGGGUGCUGUGGCUCAUGCCUGUAAUCCCAGCACUUUGGGAGACUGAGGCGGGCAGAUCACCUGAGUUCAGAAGUUUGAGACCAGCCUCACCAACAUGGUGAAAACUUGUCUCUACUAAAAAUACAAAAACUAGCCAGGCGUGGUGACAUACACCUGUAGUCCCAGCUACUCAGAAGGCUGAGGCAGGAGAAUCGCUUGAACCUGGGAGGUGGAGGCUGUAUUGAGCCAAGAUUGCACGACUGAACUCCACCUGAGUGACAGAGUGAGACUCCGUCUCAAAAACAAACAAACAAAAAAACAAACACUGGAUAGGCUGAACAGGAGAUUAGACACUGUAGAAGAGGUGAGUGUGAACCUGAAGCCAUACCAACAGAAACUAUCCAAAGUGAAACACAGAGAUAAAAAAAGACAAAAAAUGAACAGAGCUAUCAAUUCAGAAGAUGUUCUACAAUUUCUACAAAUGUUCUUAAAGUUGUUCUACAGCUCAGCGAUGGCUCUGUUCAUUCUUUUUGAAGUAGAACAACUUCAAGCAGCUGAUUAUAUAUGCAAUCAGGGCAUCUAGAGGAGGCUGGGCUGGAGACAGAAAAAAAAGUUAAGAUAUAAUAGCCACGGUGGCUCACGCCUGUAAUCCCAGCACUUUGGGAGGCCAAGGCGGGCAGAUCACGAGGUCAGGAGAUCAAGACCAUCCCCGUCUCUACUAAAAAUACAAAAAAUUCGCCGGGCGAGGUGGCGGGCGCCUGUAGUACCAGCUACGCGGGAGGCUGAGGCAGGAGAAUGGCGUGAACCCCAGGGGGCGGUGCCUGCAGUGAGCCGAGAUCGCGCCACUGCACUCCAGCCUGGGCGACAGUGAGACUCCGUUUCAAAAAAAAAAAAAAAAGAUAUAAUAGCCAAAAUUUCCCCAAAUGUGAUGAAAAGGAUAAACCCAGAGAUCCAAGAAGCUCAGAAACCCUAAGCUCAAGAAACACGAUGAAAAAUACACCAAAGCACAUCAUAUCAUAGUCAAAUAAUCUAAAAUCAGCAAUAGAGAAAAAUCUUAAAAGCAUCCACAAAAAAGAUGACAUUACAUACAGAGAAACAAAGAAUGAUAGCCGACUCUUCCUACAAUGCAAGCCAGACAGUGGAGUAACAUAUUUAAAGUACUGGCAAAAAAACAGUCAAGCUGUAAUUCUAUAGCAAGUGAAACUAUUUUUCAAAAAUGCAGGUUUCACAAUGAGAUACCAUCUCAUACUAGAAAGAAUGACUAUUACUAAAACAUCACACACACACACACAAAAACAGAUACUGGUGAGGCUGUGGAGAAAAGGGAGUGUUUAUACACUGUUGGAGGGAAUGUUCAGCCCCUGUGAAAAGCGAUUUGGAGAUUUCUCAAAGAACUUAAAGGGCCGGGCGUGGUGGCUCACGCUUGUAAUCCCAGCACUUUGGGAGGCCGAGGCGGGCGGAUCACGAGGUCAGGAGAUCGAGACUACGGUGAAACCCCGUCUCUACUAAAAAUACAAAAAAUUAGCCGGGCGUGGCGGCGGGCGCCUGUAGUCCCAGCUACUCGGAGAGGCUGAGGCAGGAGAAUGGCGUGAACCCGGGAGGCGGAGCUUGCAGUGAGCCGUGAUCGCGCCACCGCAUUCCAGCCUGGGCAACAGAGGGAGACUCCAUCUCAAAAAAAAAAAAAAAAAAAGGAACUUAAAAGAGAACUAUGAUCUGACCCAGCAAUCCUGUUACUGGGUAUAUAUCCAAAAGAAAACAAAUCAUUCUACCAAAAAGACACAUGCACUAUGUUAAUUAUAGCUCUAUUUACAAUAGCAAAGACAUGGAAUCAACCUAGGUGCCCAUCAGCAGUGGAUUGGAUAAAGAAAAUAUGGUCUAUAUACACCAUGUAAUACUAUGGAGCCAUAAAAUGAAUGAUAUCAUGUCCCUUGCAGCAACAUGGAUGCACAUGGAGGCCAUUACCCUCAGUAAAUUAACACAGAAACAGAAAACCAAAUACCACAUGCUCUCACUUAUAUUGGGAGGUAAACACUGGGUACUCAUGGACAUAAAGAUGGCAACAACAGAAACGGGAUUAUUAGAGGAGGGACGCAGGUGAGUACUGGUAAACUAACUUUUGGGUACUAUGUUCACUACCUGAGUGAUGGGAUCAUUUGUAUCCCAGCAUCGCACAAUAUACCCAGGUAACAAACCUGCACAUGUACCCCUAAAUCUAAAAGUUGAAAAAUGCAACUUUCAAAAAGGAAAAGUUCUGUGUUUCUGCACUUGUCCAUUGCUCCUCAGCAUUCUAUUGUGGGUGUUUCUUUUUGACAGCCACAGGGGACAGACUAUACCAGUGAAAAAGAUCUGAAAGACAGCCUAAGUCCCAUCUUUCACUGUAAAACCAACCAUUCUGGUUUGUAAUUAUCACAGCUCAAAGUGAUCUCCUCUUCCUAAGCAUUAUCCUCACAGCAUUCACAGACACUCCUGGUACUAUAACUAUUUAUAUUUAUAUAUAAAUGUAAACUAUAUGUACAUGUAAACUAUACAUGUAGAACUAUUUACAUAUUUGUCUUCCUCUCAAAUUAUGCUAUAAAUUCUUAAUGGCAGACGCUAUAAUUUGGUAUUACCCAUCAGGCCUAGCACAAGGUCUUAUAUUUAUUAGAUGCUCCACAAACAUCUCUGUAAAAGUCUAUCACAAACUCCUGCUACUAACAUUAUUUCUUUUUCUUAGUAUUUUUUUUAACUCAUGAUAGCUGUUUGUCCUGAACUAACAUUAUUGAUCUGUAUGUAAUCUUCCUUCUAACACGGUUACUGCUGUCUCAGUAAAUAAUGGCUGAAUAGCGUUUAUUCCUAUGCUCUUCCAGCCAGCCAAGACACUGUUAUACACUGGUAUGUGUUCUUAGAUGUUCACACAUGAUGGUGACCUUACUCCUCUCUUUCCCAUUGUAGUUACCAUUAACUUCACGUAGCUAAACAUUGGUAAAGAUGCCCUGAACACGUCGAAGUGUUUAGAGGCACUGAGCAGGGGUAGUCUAUAUAGAAGAGAAAUUCAAAUUUCAAGUGAAGAAAUAAAGGUCUGACUACUGAGAUUUAAGCAGAGUUUACAGAGUUGGGAGGCAGAUAUAAGCAAGAGCAAGGCAAUGAGAGAAGGCAGCGGUGCAGGUAGAACACACAGGAAGAUAAUAUGCAAGUAUCUUGAAAAUUUUCAAAGAACACCACAAAUAAAAUCUAUUAAUAUCACCAUCUAGUAAAAUGCUGAGUAUACAGUAAAUGCUAUUAAGACUUGUUAAAAUAAAAAAAGAAUUUCAGGCUGAGUAUGGUGGUUCAUGCCUGUAAUCCCAGCACAUUGGGAGGCUGAGGUGGGAGGUCACUUGAGUCCACGAGUUCAAGACCAGCCUGGGCAAUAUAGUGAGACCCCGCCCCCAUCGCUACAAAAAGUUUAAAAAUCAGCCAGGCAUGGUGGUACACACCUGUAGUUCUAGCUACUCAGGAAGCUGAGGUAGGAGGAUCACUUGAGCCCAGGAAUUCGAAGCUGCAGUAAGCUAUGAUCAUGCCACUGCACUCUAGUCUGGAAAACAGAGAGAGACCCGGUCUAUAUUUAAAAGAAUAAUAAUAAGAAGAAUCUCAAGGUCAGAAUAAAGAAAGUUAAGGUUGAAAUAGAAGGAAAAUAAAAAUAGUGAAAAGGAAAUAUAUUUAAGAAGACACUUUAGAAAUAGUACUCCUGCUUGAAAGACCCAAAGAAAGCUGAGAGAGGCCACUGGAUCACUUAGACAGGAAAGGUGUCUGAUGAUACAUAGGCCUGAAAAUAAUGAGCCAAUAAGUUAUGGCUCAAUUGCUGUAAUCAAGGCAAAGUAAGAAGAAUAAAUGAAAUAUGAGCAGAGGAUAAAGCUUUGUUGCCAGAAAUAACUGAAAGGCGGAAUAAUCCCUAUAGGAAGGGAAAACCCAAAACCUCUGACACAGUAUUACCGAAGAAUGUUCUAUAAUAUCAAAAUAAUGAAUCAUAUAAAAACAUCUAGUACUAUGUUAGAGAGUCCAGCCAACAGAAGGUAGAGUGAAUGAUAUAUAUAUAUAUAUAUAUAUAUAUAUAUAUAUAUAUAUAUAUAUAUAUAUAUAUAUAUAUAAAGAUGUUAUGUGUUAGUUGUAUAAAUGAUAAUUCAAAUGGAGAGUGUGGGGAGAAGUGAAGCAUGUUUUGUUUCUGGUAAACAAUAACUGGAGGCCAGGCAUGAUGGCUCACACCACACCUGUAAUCCCAGCAUCUUGGGAGGCUGAGGCGGGUGGAUCACCUGAGGUCAGGAGUUCAAGACCCGCCUGACCAAUAUGGUGAAACUCCGUCUCUACUAAAAAUACAAAAAUUAGCUGGGUGUGGUGGCACACACCUGUAGGCCCAGCUACUGAGGAGGCUGAGGCAGAAGAAUUGCUUGAACCCAGGAAGCAGAGGUUGCAGUGAGCCGAGACUGCGCCACUGCACUCCAGCCUGGGUGACAAAGUGAAACGCCGUCUCAAAAAGAAAAAAAAAAAAUAGCUGUGUUGCUCUAAUGUAGCAUGCCUAAGAGGCAGAUUGUUGGGGUGUCCAAUCUUUUGGCUUCCCUGGGGCACACUGGCAGAAAAAUUGUCUUGGGCCACACAUAAAAUACAUUAACACUAACAAUAGCUAAUUAGCUAAAAAAAAAAAAAUCAUACAAAAAAAUCUCAUAAUGUUUUAAGAAAGUUUACGAAUUUGUAUUGGGUUGCAUUCAAAGCCACCCUGGGCCACAUGUGGCCCACGGGCUGUGGGUUGGACAAGCUUCAUUUGGCACAAAGAGAACACGAUCUGGUCACUUCAUAUUGCUAAGGAGUCAGCUAAACGUAUGAUCUAGAAACAGGUCAAAAUUAAGGAAAACUAUGUAAAUAUGCUGUUUCUGUGCUUAACAGUCCAAAAGCCAGUACCCUGAGGAGCCCAGAGCAAAUACAGUCAUUCAGAUGACCUAAUCCUACCCUAGGAUAGGAAGCACAGAAGCCAAGAAGUUUAAGAGUAGCUGGGUGAAAUGUCAGCUUGAUUCUACCAGGAGCAGAUGAGCAUGAAAUUAUUGCCACUUUUGGAAAAAUUUAUUAAUCCCAUGACAGAGUUACUGGCGCAGGAAUAGACUAAUCAAUAGAGCAAAACAGAUCCAGGAAUGGAUGAGGUUUCUUUUAGCACAUGAUAAAGCUAGCAUUUCAAGUUAGUGGUAUAAGAACACUGGAAAAACUGGCUAUUUGGAAAAAAAAUAAAAUAAAAAGCUGAAUUCCUAACUCCCUUCUUAAAAUGCCUAAAUAAAUUCCAUAUAGGGCGAAGAUUUAAAUGUAAAAAAAUUAAAUUAUAAAAAUACUAGAAAUGGCCAGGCACAGUGGCUCACCCCUGUAAUCCUAGCAUUUUGGGAGGCCCAGGUGGGUGGACUGCUUGAGCCCAGGAGUUUGAGACCAGCCUGGGCAACAUAGUGAGACCCUGUCUCUACCAAAAAAGAAAACAAACAAAAAAACAAUAGCCAGGUGUGGUGGCAUAGCAUGAGUUUGUGGUCCCAGCGACUCAGGAGGUUGAGGUGGGAGGAUUGCUUGAGCCUGGGAGUUCGAGGCUGUAGUGAUCUGUGAUGGCACCACUGUACUCCAGCCUGGGUGACAGAGUGGGACCCUGUGUCAAAAAAUGAUACUAGAAGUAUAAGCGAAUAUUUUUAUAACCUUGGAAUGGGAAGACCUUUACAAAAAUGGUACAAAAAUCAGAACUCAUACUUAAGGAUUUACUCUGACUAUGUAAAAAGUUUAAAUUGCAAAACACCAAAGAGAAAGCUGAAAAAAACUGGAAAAAAAUAUUUGUAACAUGACAAAGUAUUAAUAUAGAAAGGGUUUCAAUUAAUAUAAAAUUAUUUGUAACAUGACAAAAUAUUAAUAUAGAAAGGGUUUUCAAAUCAGUAGGAAACAGGCCAAAACCUCAAACAGGUUUUCGGAAAAUAGGGAAAGAACAUGAGCACCCAAUUCAUAGAAGGACAAAGAAAUGGCCAAUAAACAUUUGAAAAGCUAUUUAAUCUCUAAAACAAAAAGAACAGGCCGGUGCAGUGGCUCACACCUGUAAUCCCAGGCUUUGGGAGGCCAAGGCGGGAGGAUCACUUGAGCCUGGGAGUUUGAGACCAGCCUGGGCAACAUGGCAAAACCCUGUCGCCACAAAAAAAAAAAAAAAAAAAAAAAAAAAAAUUAGCCGGGUAUGGUGGUGUGCACCUGUAGUCCCAGCUACUCAGGAGGCUGAGAUGGGAGGGUGGUUUGAGCCCAGGAAGUAGAGGUUGUAGUGAGCCAAGAAAGAAAAAGAAAAAUAUGACAUUUUUGCCUUUCAGACUGGCAAAGAUUAAAAGACUUGACAAAAUGUAUCCAGUGAGGGCAUAGGGACCAGAGCACCUUCUUCUACGGUGGGUGGGAGUACAUAAAUUGCUGCAACUUUUCUGGAGAGCUAUUUGGUGAUGCAAAUAAAAACUGAGAACGUCCGUAUCAUGUGCCUGAGCAAAUCCUAUUCUUAGGAAUUUGUCAUAAGGGGAUAAUCACAUACCUUUAUAAAAGAUGUCAUAUGUUGGGGUGAUUACUGCAGCUAACAACUAUUGAACAUUCCCCACAUGUCAUCUUCUGUGUUAGGUAUCUUACACACAUUAUUAUUUAAUCCACAUAACCCCAUGAGAUAUUACUAUACCUGUAUAUUAUAAAUGAAGAACUGGAGAUUUGUUAAGUAAAUUAUGUUAUGCCAUACAACAAUAUAUCAGGUGCUAUUAAAAAUGUUUCAAGAACAAGGAAAAAAAGAAGAAACGUUUAAAAAAAUCUUAAAAAACCCAAAACUAAAAUGUUUCAGGUAUUUACUGACAUUGAAAGAUACUCAGAGCAUAUUAGUAAAAAGCAGGCUACAAAACAGCAUGUGACAUCAUAUGUGCAUAUUUAUGGUUACAAUGUUAUCAGGGGCCGGGCACAGUGGCUCACACCUAUAAUCCUAGUACUUUGGGAGGAUGAGGCAGAACAAUUGCUUAAGCUCAGGAGUUUGAGACCAGCCUGGGAAACAUAGUGAGACUUUGCCUCCAAAAAACCAACAAUAACAACAACAAUAAAAACUAGCCAGGCAUGGUGGCAAGCACCUGUCGUCCCAGAUACACUGUUUGAGCCCAGGAGGUCAAGGCUACAGUCAGCCAUGAUUGUGCCACUGCACUCUAGUCUGGAUGACAGAGCAAGAUUGUCCCUUAAAAAAGAAAAAAAAAAGGUAUCUGGAAGGAUACCCUUUAAAAUAUCAAUAGCAACUGUCUUUAAGUGGUAUUAUAGAAUUGAUAGGGGUGCACUCUUCUUUAUAGUUUUUCUAGAGUGCAUAAAUUACUCUCAUCCCACCUCCAAUUGGCAGAAAUCAUUUUAAAAAUAAAACUAUAUAAGUAAGCUAUUUUUACUUAAAAAAAAAAGGAAGGAAAGAAAAAGUAUAAAGGAAAGGGUGAUAUAAAAAGUACACAUAGAC
rnacentral:lncRNA from 1 species